GAUUUUCGUGAAUCAUUGAAUCUUUGAACGCACAUUGCGCCCUCUGGUAUUCCGGAGGGCAUGCCUGUUUGAGCGUCAUUUCCUUCUCACACCCUCUAGGGUAUGGUGAUGGGUGAUACUUUGAGUAAUCAAAGUUCACUUGAAAUGUAUUGGCAUGAGUUUUUGUUUACUGAAAGCAGUUGUUUAUCAAUGUAUUAGGUUUAUUCCAUCGUUGAAUUAGCAGUUGUAAGAAGUAGCAAAAUUUUGGCUCUGCCUAACAAACUUUUUUUAAUCAUAAAGUUUGACCUCAAAUCAGGUAGGACUACCCGCUGAACUUAAGCAUAUCAAUAAGCGGAGGAAAAGAAACCAACAGGGAUUGCCUUAGUAGCGGCGAGUGAAGCGGCAAGAGCUCAAAUUUGAAAUCUGGUACCUUCGGUGCCCGAGUUGUAAUUUGAAGAAAGCUAUCUUGGAUUUGGCCUUUGUCUAUGUUCCUUGGAACAGGACGUCACAGAGGGUGAGAAUCCCGUGCGAUGAGGUGUCCAUUUCUAUGUAAGAUGUUUUCGAAGAGUCGAGUUGUUUGGGAAUGCAGCUCUAAGUGGGUGGUAAAUUCCAUCUAAAGCUAAAUAUUGGCGAGAGACCGAUAGCGAACAAGUACAGUGAUGGAAAGAUGAAAAGAACUUUGAAAAGAGAGUGAAAAAGUACGUGAAAUUGUUGAAAGGGAAGGGUAUUAGAUCAGACUUGGUAUUUAGUUAUCAUUGCUCCUUGUGGGUGGUGCUCUAGCUUUUUACUGGGCCAGCAUCAGUUUUGGUGGCAAGAUAAUGACAUUUGAACGUGGCUCUUCGGAGUGUUAUAGCUUUUGUUGAUAUUGCCUACUGGGACUGAGGUCUGCGGCUUUUGCCUAGGAUGCUGGCGUAAUGAUCCAAUACCGCCCGUCUUGAAACAUGGACCAAGGAGUCUAACGUCUAUGCGAGUGUUUGGGUGUAAAACCCGUACGCGUAAUGAAAGUGAACGUAGAUCAGGGCCUCUUUUGAGGUGCACGAUCGACCGAUCCUGAUGUUUUCAGAUGGAUUUGAGUAAGAGCAUAGCUGUUGGGACCCGAAAGAUGGUGAACUAUGCCUGAAUAGGGUGAAGCCAGAGGAAACUCUGGUGGAGGCUCGUAGCGGUUCUGACGUGCAAAUCGAUCGUCGAAUUUGGGUAUAGGGGCGAAA
rnacentral:rRNA from 1 species